GAUGAAGAACGUAGCGAAUUGCGAUACGUAAUGUGAAUUGCAGAUUUUCAGUGAAUCAUCGAAUCUUUGAACGCACAUUGCGCCUCCUGGUAUUCCAGGGAGCAUGCCUGUUCGAGUGUCAUUUAGCAACCAUCGAGCGAGUUUUGCCUCGCUUGGGUCUGGGGGAUGGUUGAACCUCGGUGCACCCACCCCCGAAAUACAACGGCGGACAACCCACCCGUGGAACUGCAGCGUAGUAAGUCAUUCUUUCGCGAGUGGCCACGAAGGGACUGUCCGGCCGGUGAAACCCCCCAAAUCCAAUGGUUGACCUCGGAUCAGGUAGGGAUACCCGCUGAACUUAAGCAUAUCAAUAAGCGGAGGA
rnacentral:misc_RNA from 1 species